rnacentral:rRNA from 1 species
AUACGGAGGGUGCAAGCGUUAUCCGGAAUCAUUAGGUUUAAAGGGUCCGUAGGCGGGCUAAUAAGUCAGGGGUGAAAUCCCACAGCUUAACUGUGGAACUGCCCUUGAUACUGUUGGUCUUGAGUUACAGUGAAGUGGUUAGAAUGUGUAGUGUAGCGGUGAAAUGCAUAGAGAUUACACAGAAUACCGAUUGCGAAGGCAGAUCGCUAACUGUAUACUGACGCUAAUGGACGAAAGCGUGGGGAGCGAACAGGAUUAGAAACCCCGGUAGUCC